GGGAAACGGAGUUGGCUCCGCCCCGCGGCACUGGCGGCACUGGUGCUGGGAGGGACCUGGCUCUGGGCACAGCGGCUCUGGCUGUGAAAAAUGCAUAUUUUAUGAUUGGCUUUUGGCAAAUAUUCAAAUGGAUAUUAUAUGUGUUGUGUUAGAAAGCUGUGCCAUGUUAAUUUUCUUAAGUAGUGUGUUAAAUAUAGUUCUAGAGUUAUAACAUAAUGUUAAAAUAGAAACUAUGCUGUAUAAGUUACUUUUUUAAAAGAAAGGACUCUCACUGAGCAGCCACAAGACACCUAAAUCUUUCAGAGCAAAAGAAUUUAUUGCUCCAUUAUCAGAAGAAAUGAACAUCUUCCCGUCUCACUCAGCCCUGAAGAGCCGUCAGGAUUCAGAGGAGGAAGCUGACACUGCCCAGACAGAAUCCUGUGUUUGAAUGGAAUUUAUGCAUCAUGGAUGAGGUGUAUGAAUAUGCAACAGGCUGCUGCUUUUAAGGGUUAAUCCUCUGUUAACGUGGGUCCUUUUUCAGGCUUAUUUUGCCCAGAAAGAGGUGCCCAGAUUGUCUGUAACUCUUUUUUUUUAUUGUCUCAUUUUGUCCUAAUCCAAAUUGUCCAGAUUACUAUUACUCUAAUUGUAUAGCUAUUUUUAUAACCAUUUUAUUACGCUUAAACUUUUAACAUUUUAAAAACAAGUGGCUGGUGUUUUUCACAGAGGAGGAGGCUGUGAGGAAGAGGAAGGAGCCCUGGCGCACCCGGGCAGGUGAGGAGGAAGCCAGUGCCCCUUUCCCCCUCUGUCCUGCUGCAUCUCUCAGACCUCACAGUGGAACCUGUUUGGGUGGGAUCCCCCUCCAUCCCUCCCCUGUGACCUCAGCUCAUCUCCAUGGACACGGCUCAAACACAACGAGCCAGCCAAGAGCCGUGGGACCCGGGAAAACCUGGCUGCAGGGAAGUUUUUCACCGUUUGAUGAAAUAUGGCAUCCAAAACAAAGAAGAGCAAGGAUGAAGAGCCACCCCAGGAAAGCAGCGACACGGAGGACCCCAUCAAGGAGAGGAAGCUGUACCUGCAGGGGGAAUGCAGGAUCAUCUCACAACACCUGGACACCUACAUGGCACGGGCGGAGCAGGUCCUGCAGGCCUCCAAACAGCUGGAGAAGGAAGCGCAGCGCACCGAGGAGCAGAGCCAGUCCUACCUGAGCUGCGGAGAAAAGCUCAGCCAGGACCCCCCGGGCAUGAUCAUCACCCUGAGCGACCACCACCGCCAAGAGCUGGCCCGAAUCCAGGCGCACAAGGAGGAGCUGGUGCCGCGCUACGAGGGCAAGGAGCAGGAGGUGCGGAGCGUCCUGGAGGAAACGGAGGCCGAGGCCUCGCGCAUGGACACGGAGCUGCAGCAGCUGGAGCCCUACAAGCAGCAGAAGGUGCAGGCGGAGCAGAGGCUGAAGGCGCUGGAGAGGGAGCUGCGGGUGACCAGGAUCCGCUGCGCCGAGGAGACGCACGCUGUGAGGAGCAGGUUCCUGCAGGACAAGGCCGAGUGCGAGCAGCAGUUCCAGCGCAGGAUGCAGCAGCUCACCUGGGGCGCGCAGGAGGUGGCCAUGAAGGCCCUGAUCCAGCACGUGGAGGAGGUGAAGGCCGAGAACAGGCUCCUGCGCCACGAGCUGAUGGGGCUCCUGCAGCACUGCCAGCUGCUCAGGGACACCAGGGUCCGGCUGCAGGACCAGAAGGAGGAGCUGCUCCGGGAGAACCUGUGUCUCCAGCUCAUGCCAGCACGGCACCGCAGGGACAGCCUGCCCUCCUUGCCAGUCAGGGCCAGCCACUGAGCCCAAACCACCCAAACCACCCCAAACCACCUGGGCCUGGCCUGCAGGAGCCAAGCAGGGAAGCAACCAAACCCUUCUGAGCACUGAGGGCUUGGAGCUCUUGGCACAAGGAUCCAUCAAAUACAUUUAUGGACCAUAAAUCCAUACUGACGCAGAUCCAUACUCUUGUUCUCCUUCUGUCCCAGGGAGGAGGUGGCCCUGGAAGGGCUCAAGGCCAGGCUUGGACACAGAUCCAUACUGAUGUUUUCCUUCAGUCCCAGGGAGGAGGUGGCUGCCCCGGCCCUGAAAGGGCUCAAGGCCAGGGUUGGAUGGGGUUUGGAGCAGCCUGGUCUGGUGGGAGGUGUCCCUGCCCAUGGCAGUGGGGUGAGAUUUUCCAGAAUUCCAUGAAAUUAUGGUUCUCAGUGCAAAUGGCUCCUGUGGAAGCGACCUGUUGGGCUCUGCAGGAGGGAGGUCCCAGGGACCCUCCCUGGGAGCUCUGAUGCUAUUGGGAACAGGUGGGAUGGAGAUGGAGCUCUGCUUCAGGCUCUGGCUGAGCUCCAGGUGGGAAUUAUCGGACCAACAAAGGCUUCCCUGCUCACUCGCCACACAAUUGCCAGGGAAAAGCCUGAGAAUCAGCUCACACACAAAAACAAAAACCUAAAACAACACCCAUGGCUGUAAACUGAGGUGAUUUCAGCCAUCCCCAGGUUUGGAUGCAGGUGAAGGACUCUGGAGCAUGGCAUCCUCAAAUCCCAGCAUCCCAAAAUCCCUGCAUCCCCAAAUCCCAGCAUCCUGAAAGCCCAGCAUCCCAAAACCCACCUGCUGUAGGCACAGCAUCCCCAAAUCUCAGGAUCAUAAAAUCUCUGCAUCCCAAAAUCCCAGCAUCCCCAAAUCCCAACAUCCCAAAAUCCCUGCAUCCCAAAAUCCCAGCAUCCCCAAAUCCCAGCAUCCCCAAAUCCCAGCUGCUGCAGACACAGCAUCCCCAAAUCCCUCAUCCAUCCUGCCAGGGACACAAGCUGGAAUCAUUAGGUUGGAAUAUUUCACGUGCUGUGAUGGAAAACCCCAGAACUGUGUUUGGCUCGAAAUUCCUUCACUGAAAUAACAUCUCUGCCAAGAGUUUUUCAUGGAAAACCAGGCCCUGCCAGCUGACAAAACUUCCAGUAGCUUAAAAUAUUUAAAUCCCAGUAAUUAAAAACAUUUAAAAAAUACAGACAAGGUGAUUCCACAACUCCUGGGGUUACCCCAGCUGUAAUGUGUGUAAUUUGAGUAGAAGAAUUUGAAUAGAAGAUGUGUAAUCUGAAUAGAAGCAUGUAAUAUCACAUGGUGGAAAACUUGGAGUUUAAGGUUUAAAGUUUUUUAAGUUUGCAAAUUUAAAUUCCCAGAAGAACUAAAGCUCAGCAGCACAGCUAAGGAAUUCUUCUCACACUUGACAAAAAUCCUGUAUGGAUUAAAAUCUGCAGAAAAUAAGGCAAAUUCUAAACAUUUCCCUCUCACUAUUGCUUGCUCCCACACAGAGCUCCCUGCCCUGCUGACGGCCAGGAUCAGCUGCAUCUGCAGCUCAUGGAAAUGUCAUUUUAGCUCUGCAAUAACUCAGGAAAUCCCUUAUGGCUGACAUUUUUAACCCCCCAAUAACGAAAAGAGACAAUUUACAAAAACAAUUCAAUUUUCCUGCAUGUGGUGAUGUAUUCCCAGAUGUGAACCGCUGGCACUGCUGCAAACAGUUUAGUGGUUUUAUAUUGCCAUUUAACAUUUUGUGGCACAUGAGAGGCUUGAGGUCACUUAAAGAACCACGAGCAAAGGCAUCAGCAAAAGCAGGUUUGAAAUAAAAGCAAAAGCACAAUGAGGUUCAUGGGCAAAGCUCACUCAGUGGUUAAAGCACACAGAGACAAAAAUCAAAUACUGGUCAAUCUAAAGCUAAAAUCACUCCAGCCUGAAUCACCCCAGAUCUAAAGGGUGAAUGUGAAAAAUGCCAACCACUCAUUUUUAAAAUUUUCAAAGUUUAAUUAUAACAAAACAGUUAUAAAAAUAGCAAUAUAAUUAGAAUAACAAAAAUUUGGACAAUUAGGACAAUACGAGACAAUAGAAACAAAGAGUUACAGACAGUCCAGGUACCUCUUUCUGGGCAAAAUAAGCCUGAAAAAGGACCCACGUUAACAGAGGAUUAACCCUUAAAAGCAGCAGCCUGUUGCAUAUUCAUACACCUCAUCCAUGAUGCAUAAAUUCCAUUCAAACACAGGAUUCUGUCUGGGCAGUGUCAGCUUCUUCCUCUGAAUCCUGACGGCUCUUCAGGGCUGAGCGAGGCGGGAAGAAGUUCGUUUCUUCUGAUAAAGGAGCAAUAAAUUCUUUUUCUCUGAAAGACUGAGGUGUCCUGUGGCUGCUCAGUGUGAGUCCUUUCUUUAAAAAAAGUAUCUCACACAGCAUAGCUUCUAUUUUAACCUAAAACUAUAUUUAACACACUACUUAAGAAAAUUAACACAGCAUAACUUUCUAACACAACACAUAUAAUAUUCAUUUGAAUAUUUGCAAAAAGCCAGUCACAAAAUACACAUUUUUCACAGUGAAGUAUCCCAGGGGAACAGCCCUGGUGUGAUAGCUGCACGCAGUCACACCCCAGACGGAGAGCUGAGGAGCUGGCAGUGAUAGAAUAGGGAUAACAUGUUUCUAAAAUCAUGGAAUAUUCAGGGGAGUUAGAAAGGAAGGAUAGGCCUGGGAAAAUGUUAGGCUGCACCUGUAUAAUCAUUUAAUCACUAUGGUAAAUGAUAUGAUUGUUAGAUGUGAUGAUUGUUGGGCAAUUGUAUAUAAUUAUUGUUUAAUAGAAACAAGAAUCAUGAGAACGGAUGUCCGGGGGGGGUUGAUGGAAAUAAAAAAAAAUGCUUGGAUGAAAUCAAUGUAUACAAUAGAAAAAUAGAAGUUGAAUAAUUAAUAUGUAGUUACAUAAUGAUAAAGGUAUAAAAAUGUG